AAAAUUAAAUUAUUCAUAGUAAACCAUGAAAUUUCACGGUUAAAACUAUAAUCAUAUACCAUAGAAAAACCUUGAUUUCCAUCUUCGUUUCAACAAUGGAAAUAAAUGGAUUUUCAUGGUUUUAUUGUGAAAAAUUGGAAGCUGAUAUUACCAUGAACUUCAUAUUUUUGAGCUUCCGAAUGUAUGGAAAAUCGCCAUUUUUUUCAUGGUCACGCUGCAUAACAAUACCCCUUUUUCAUGGUUAUUUUUGCCAAAACGAUGAAAUGUAUGGUCGAAAACUAUGAAUUCCAAUGUACAUUUACGGUAUCGAGGACGAUAAUAAUCAUUGUGUAAACCAUGCAAUUAAUGGUCGGUGAAAAUGGAAUUCAUGGUUUUUUCACGGUACAUUUCUAUUCGGGAUGUUUUGAGAAACAUAUUGUGAUUUGUUAUGUAGAACAAUUAAUUAUGUGUUCUGAGAAAAAAAAAACGAUUUGUUCUAAGGAACAAUUAGACAUUUGUUUUGAGGAACAAAUUGUGAUAUAUUCUGGGAUUAUUGUUUUGAGGGACAAGUUGUGAUUUUUCUGUGGAACGUAGGUUGAAAGCAUUUUGUUGUAUUUUUUUUAAGCAAAGGGGGGAAUCAUCAAUGAUGCAUUAGAUGACGAUAAUGAUGCAGAUGGAACUGAGAAAAAAAGUGUUUUUAUUCCUUUGAGGAUUCAGGCACGUAAGAAUUUUCCAAUUACUCUGAAGAGUGAUGAUCGAUAGUUCUGAGGAAACAGGAACAAUAUCCCAAUUGAGUAAGGAAAAUAGUUCUGAGGAACUAUUCUGAGAAACUGAACUCAUAUCAGAUCAGGAGACGUUUUUGCUUAAAAGGUUGGGACUCCGAGGAGUCCGGAUGGUUCUGAGCAACUGGGUUAGCGUUAAAGCGCUAUGCCCUUUUACACUUACCAGAAUUUCUAGGACUCUAACUCUGAAGAGUGUAAGUAAUUUACACAGGUUACAGUACUUGCUUUAAGGAGUUAUAAACUUAAAUCGAAUGUUGGAUUUAAAUUAAUUUUGAAGAGCAAUGCACAGUGCGGUGUUGGAUAGUGGUAUUGGUACAUCAAUUUUUAGAUGUGUUGAUGAAGAACAGAACAAGAACAUUAUACUUGUUCUGAAUUUAAAUCACUGCUGGUCAGUUGUGAUUUCUUGUUCGAUGAACCUCGUAGUGGGCGUCUGUCAACUCCAAAUUUUCAUUAAGCAUCUGGAUAUUGUUUUAUAAUAAAGAAAUUGGUUGGCACGAAUGCAUUGGUAAUUUUAGUCUAAAUUCUAACAUACGUAACGAUGAUCUGGAUUCAAGGUUUGCUAAGAGUUGAGUAUGCAGUUAAUAUAUCAACAGAUUAUUCUAGAUUUUCUAGCGGGCAGACAAAGAAAAUAGAGGAAAUAAUUAAUGUCACAUGAUAAUACAAAGUACAGGACAUUAUAUAGCCAGCAGAUUGUGGCCUAGAGGAUAUCAUCCUUGUCUUCUAAGCCAACGCUCAUGAGAUCGAAUCCCGGUCGUAGAUUGCACAUCGAGAUCCUACCUAGAGAUGUGUGUGUGCUUAUGGUGCUACAACUUCAACCAAUAGUGCAGGGGUGUCAGGUCAGGUAGCAUGGCAAAGAAAUGGUAACGCGAGGUAGCACCACGAGGUAGCUGUCAGUAUAGUCAGUGGUAAAAGGUUUUCUCUGAUUACUAGCUCCGGUGCCUCAUUGCUGCCAAAGGCAAAGAAUAUAAACAAAAUAACAAUGAUUAUGUAUUUCAAAUGUUUUCUAUUUAAGAGUCACUCAACUGAAGAAACUAGCUUUCUUUUUAACGUAAAGCUUCGACUCAUGUAACGGAUAAACUGCUAUUGGUAGAAAUAUUAGAAAUAUUACAAAAUUAACAAACAAGUGAGGGUUGGAGAUAAAUUAAAAAAAAAUAAGGGAGGACUAUAUUGACGAUAAUUGUUGUUGAAAUAAAAACGAACUAUUUCAUUAAAAAGAUCAUGUUCUAGUAAAACGCAUUAAAAAAAGGCAACCAGAUAAAAUAUGGUUCGGAUAUCAUUGGUAAACCUUUAGCCAACAUCGGAAAAACGUUACUUCAUUCAUUUUAUGAUAAGCAAAAAAAACGUGCCCGACUCGCAGUCUAGAAAAGAUUCAGAUAUAGUUAGUAGUUAGAUUGUACCCUAAAGUAUGUAUUCGAACGUUUUUGAAAUAUCGGAACCAAGGUGUGUAUAUAAAGUAGGUGUUACCGAAUAUCGAAUUCCCGAUUCAGCCAUUUUGGCUAUUUAGACUAUGCAACUAUGCGGAACUCAUUGAGAGCCCCGCUCACUCCUGGCCUACUUACUGUGAAAGUCGGAGAACCUCGUGUAUCAAAAAAAACCUUGAUCAGAACUAAGGAAACGUUACCAGCAAGAACCUACUUGGCUUUUACCAAAUAGCGAAGAUAAAAAUAAAUACACGUCUCUAUCGGCAGCCAUUGCUGUUGUAAUAACGAAACUUGAAAUAUAUUUGAUAGAUGUUUUGUCCCUCUGAUAUACAGCCAGUGAUAGUCGCUGAUUGUUGUAUAGACGAAUAUCUCGAUUUAGGGUUUCAUCGACGAUACCUCCUUAGACUAAGAAGUGUUAGGAGGGAUGUAGGGACGUACCUUGCGUUAUGAAAACAUUGAACAGAGCUAACAGAAAAACGUAACGUAUACGAGCGAAGAGGAACUGUCAAGAGUAACGGCGAGAGUGAAAGGGGGGAGAUGAAAAAGGGGACUUGGGUGUAGACGGUGAAAUGGUUUGGACGUGCGAAAAUACGGUGAUAGAUUUGUAUAAUUUACGGAAUAAAGAUAGGAAUGGAAAUUCAAAGAAACCGAGUUUUGGAGACUCUACAUAGACCUAUUUGGCGAAUUUUAAUGAAAAAAGGAAUUCCACCCGAUAUUCAUUUGAUACUAAAAAAGAAAGACAUUGAAUUAUAUAAAACGAUAGCUAAUUUUGUAAUUGAAUGUAAAAUAGACAUGUAAGUAGAAGAGUAAUUAACACUUGGCCGGUUAUGUUAUAGAGGUAAAGCCAAUAAAAAAAUUAAAAAAAAAAAAAAAAUAAUAAUGUUCUGGUACCAGCUGAUUGAAAAAAUAUCUACAAUAUUACAGAUCUACUGCAUUACUGAUCAUGCAUUAAUUGAUUUAGAACAAAUUGUAGAUAACUCAUGGGAGGUGAUUUGGGAACGAUGACAACUGAUGCCGAGGGAAGUGAUUGGAAUAGAUCCGCUUUCUAAAUUUAAGCUAUCCAUGUCCAACCAAAUUGAAAAACAUCCCUACUACAUAACAGAAAUCAAGGGUUACUUGGAAGUGUGUACCGCUUCGUCAUAAUGAGAAGACCAAUAUUGCAUUAUGAGUGAGAGCUGUAAGCUACUAGAAAAUUCCUUGAGUUACAAGAAAACUUAAAAUUUGAUGUUGGAUAUUUUGUGCACCGCUUUUUAAUAGUGUUGAUCCAACAACUUGGAAAGAAGUUUUAUGAAAUAUUGCAUGACGACGCAUAGCUACUACUUUUAGAUUAUGAUGUUGGCCGAAAACUGUCGUAAAAGCAAUUGUUAUUAUAAUUUAAAUCAC